UACGUAGGGAGCGAGCGUUAUCCGGAUUCACUGGGUUUAAAGGGUGUGUAGGCGGAUACUUAAGUCAGUGGUGAAAUCUCCGGGCUCAACCCGGAAACUGCCAUUGAUACUAUUUAUCUUGAAUUCUGUUGAGGUGGGCGGAAUACAUCAUGUAGCGGUGAAAUGCUUAGAUAUGAUGUAGAACACCGAUUGCGAAGGCAGCUCACUAAACAGAUAUUGACGCUGAGGCACGAAAGCGUGGGGAUCAAACAGG
rnacentral:misc_RNA from 1 species